ACUCAAAUGAAUUGACGGGGGCCCGCACAAGCGGUGGAGCAUGUGGUUCAAUUCGACGCAACGCGAAGAACCUUACCUGGGCUAGACAACGGUGGACCGUCCUAGAAAUAGGAUUUUCCUUUCGGGGACCGCCGGUUCAGGUGCUGCAUGGCUGUCGUCAGCUCGUGCCGUGAGGUGUUGGGUUAAGUCCCGCAACGAGCGCAACCCUCGUCUUUAGUUGCCACCAUUCGGUUGGGCACUCUAGGGAGACUGCCGGCGUUAAGCCGGAGGAAGGUGGGGACGACGUCAAGUCAUCAUGGCCCUUAUGUCCAGGGCCACACACGUGCUACAAUGGGCGGUACAAAGGGUCGCAAACCCGCGAGGGGGAGCCAAUCCCAAAAAGCCGCUCUCAGUUCGGAUUGGAGUCUGCAACUCGACUCCAUGAAGUUGGAAUCGCUAGUAAUCGCGGAUCAGCACGCCGCGGUGAAUACGUUCCCGGGCCUUGUACACACCGCCCGU
rnacentral:rRNA from 1 species